rnacentral:snRNA from 1 species
GUGCUCGCUUCAACAGCACAUAUACUAAAAUUGGAACGAUACAGUGGAGAAUAUUAUGGCCCCUGUACGCAGUAUAACUUGAUUCAUGUGGCAUUCCCUUUUUUU